CCUACGGGAGGCAGCAGUGAGGAAUAUUGGUCAAUGGGCGUAAGCCUGAACCAGCCAAGUCGCGUGAGGGAUGAAGGUUCUAUGGAUCGUAAACCUCUUUUAUAAGGGAAUAAAGUGUGGGACGUGUCCUAUUUUGUAUGUACCUUAUUAAUAAUGAUCGGCUAACUCCGGGCCAGCCGCCGCGGUAAUACGGAGGAUCCGAGCGUUAUCCGGAUUUAUUGGGUUUAAAGGGUGCGUAGGCGGCCUUUUCAGUCAGCGGUGAAAGUCUGGGGCUCAACCAGAGUAGUGCCGUUGAAACUGGGGGGCUUGAGUAAGUUAGAGGCAGGCGGAAUGCGGGGUGUAGCGGUGAAAUGCGUAGAUA
rnacentral:rRNA from 1 species